rnacentral:rRNA from 1 species
UACAUGGGGUGCAAGCGUUAUUCGGAUUCACUGGGCGUAAAGGGUGCGCAGGCGGCCGUGUGUGUGAGGCGUGAAAGCCCGGGGCUUAACCCCGGAAUUGCACCUCAAACUACAUGGCUAGAGCAUUGGAGAGGGUAGCGGAAUUCACGGUGUAGCAGUGAAAUGCGUAGAUAUCGUGAGGAACACCAGAGGCGAAGGCGGCUACCUGGACAAUUGCUGACGCUCAGGCACGAAAGCGUGGGGAGCAAAAGGG